rnacentral:rRNA from 1 species
CAGCAGCCACGGUAAUACGUAGGGUGCGAGCGUUAAUCGGAAUUACUGGGCGUAAAGCGUGCGCAGGCGGUUUUGUAAGACAGAGGUGAAAUCCCCGGGCUCAACCUGGGAACUGCCUUUGUGACUGCAAGGCUAGAGUACGGCAGAGGGGGAUGGAAUUCCGCGUGUAGCAGUGAAAUGCGUAGAUAUGCGGAGGAACACCGAUGGCGAAGGCAAUCCCCUGGGCCUGUACUGACGCUCAUGCACGAAAGCGUGGGGAGCAAACAGGAUUAGAUACCCCUGUAGUCCAUGUCUCUUAUAA